GACGAACGCUGGCGGCGUGCUUAACACAUGCAAGUCGAGCGGUAAGGCCCUUUCGGGGUACGACGAGCGGCGAACGGGUGAGUAACACGUGGGUGACCUGCCCUCCAGCUCUGGGAGUAAGCCUGGGAAACGUGGGUCGUAAUACCGGAUAUGACUCCAUGACGCAUGUUGUGGGGUGGAAAGCCUUGUGCGGCUGAGGAUGGGCCCGCGGCCUAUCAGC
rnacentral:rRNA from 1 species